CUACGGGGUGCAGCAGUGGGGAAUAUUGGACAAUGGGGGAAACCCUGAUCCAGCAAUGCCGCGUGUGUGAAGAAGGCCUGUGGGUUGUAAAGCACUUUCGGUUGGGAGGACUGCUUCUAGCACUAAUAUUGUUGGAAGUUGACGUUACCUUCAGAAGAAGCACCGGCUAACUCCGUGCCAGCAGCCGCGGUAAUACGGAGGGUGCAAGUGUUAAUCGGAAUUACUGGGCGUAAAGCGCGCGUAGGCGGCUAGACCAGUCGGGUGUGAAAGCCCCGGGCUUAACCUGGGAACUGCAUCCGAUACUGUCUAGCUUGAGUACAGGAGAGGAGAGUGGAAUUCCACAUGUAGCGGUGAAAUGCGUAGAUAUGUGGAGGAACACCAAUGGCGAAGGCAGCUCUCUGGCCUGAUACUGACGCUGAGGUGCGAAAGCGUGGGGAGCAAACAGGAUUAGAUACCCGCGUAGUC
rnacentral:rRNA from 1 species